UCGAGAAUCUUCGGCAAUGGGCGAAAGCCUGACCGAGCGACGCCGCGUGAGGGAUGAAGGCCUUCGGGUUGUAAACCUCUUUCGUAGAGGAGGAAGGGGCUGUGAAGAACAGUCCUUGACCUAUUCUAGGAAGAAGCUUGGGCUAAGUUCGUGCCAGCAGCCGCGGUAAGACGAACCAAGCGAACGUUAUUCGGAAUUACUGGGCUUAAAGCGCGUGUAGGCGGAUGGCCACGUCGGUUGUUGAAAUCCCCCGGCUUAACCGGGGAACAGGCACCGAUACGAGUUAUCUGGAGGUGGGUAGGGGAGACUGGAACUUCCGGUGGAGCGGUGAAAUGCGUUGAGAUCGGAAGGAACGCCUGCGGCGAAAGCGAGUCUCUGGCCCCAUACUGACGCUGAGACG
rnacentral:rRNA from 1 species